AGGCAUCCCCAACAGACCUGGAGCAGUUAAUGUCUGCUGCUAAGAUUUCCACUACAGAUGCAAGAAAAAGAAAGUCCAAGUGCUUUCUGUCUGUCUAGUUGUGGCAGCCAAGAUUGAAUGGGGAAAUAUAG
rnacentral:snoRNA from 1 species